rnacentral:rRNA from 1 species
GAGUUUGAUCCUGGCUCAGGAUGAACGCUGGCGGCGUGCCUAAUACAUGCAAGUCGAACGAGGUGCCUUUGUAGCAAUACGAAGGUAUCCUAGUGGCGAACGGGUGAGUAACGCGUUGGUGACCUGCCCCAAAGUGUGGGAUAACAGUCCGAAAGGAUUGCUAAUACCGCAUGUGGUCAUCGGGUUUAGAAGCCGGUGACUAAAGCCGCAAGGCGCUUUGGGAGGGGCCUGCGUCCCAUCAGCUAGUUGGUAGGGUAACGGCCUACCAAGGCGACGACGGGUAGGGGACCUGAGAGGGUGGCCCCCCACAAUGGAACUGAAACACGGUCCAUACACCUACGGGUGGCUGC